AUAUCAAUAAGCGGAGGAAAAGAAACCAACAGGGAUUGCCUCAGUAACGGCGAGUGAAGCGGCAACAGCUCAAAUUUGAAAUCUGGCCCCUCCCGGGGUCCGAGUUGUAAUUUGUAGAGGAUGCUUCGGGCAAAGCUGCGGUGUAAGUCCCUUGGAACAGGGCGUCACAGAGGGUGAGAAUCCCGUCCUGCACUGCGAGCGGCGUCCAGGUGAAGCUCCUUCGACGAGUCGGGUUGUUUGGGAAUGCAGCUCAAAAUGGGUGGUAAAUUUCAUCUAAAGCUAAAUACUGGCCAGAGACCGAUAGCGCACAAGUAGAGUGAUCGAAAGAUGAAAAGCACUUUGAAAAGAGAGUUAAACAGCAUGUGAAAUUGUUGAAAGGGAAGCGCUUGCAGCCAGACUUGCGGGCGGCGGUUCAACCGUCCUCCUCGGACGGUGCACUCCGUCGUCUCCAGGCCAGCAUCGGUUCGGGCAGCCGUUGAAAGGCCCCGGGAAUGUAUCAACCCUCCGGGGUUGACUUAUAGCCCGGGGUGCCAUGCGGCUCGUCUGGACCGAGGGACGCGCUCCGGCACGGAUGCUGGCGUAAUGGCUGUAAGCGACCCGUCUUGAAACACGGACCAAGGAGUCUAACAUCUAUGCGAGUGUUUGGGUGUCAAACCCCUGCGCGUAAUGAAAGUGAACGGAGGUAGGAGCCCACGCGGGUGCACUAUCGACCGAUCCUGAUGUUCUCGGAUGGAUUUGAGUAAGAGCAUAGCUGUUGGGACCCGAAAGAUGGUGAACUAUGCGUGUAUAGGGUGAAGCCAGAGGAAACUCUGGUGGAGGCUCGCAGCGGUUCUGACGUGCAAAUCGAUCGUCAAAUACGCGUAUAGGGGCGAAAGACUAAUCGAACCAUUGGGGGUGUUGAUAGACACCGUCGCGCUUUUCUUUUGCGACCAGGUGGUUCUUACGUAGGGAGUAAGUCGCCCUACUUAAUCUAUGGUGAUAGAUUACGCCGUUAGCUUGGCGGGAACUCUUUUAUGCAGAGAUCCGCAGCAGUAUCUCUUCUCCCCGGAGGGACUGUUCACAGACUAUAGAAUGGCGGUCAGAUCGAUCCGAUCCGAUGAAAAUAUAGCCGAAAGAGACUAGGGAGGAGAACCGAGUAACGAUCUCUCAACGGAGAGUAUACUUCGAAGAGGGCGAUGUAGCUAAACGCUAUACCAAGGAAUUACCGUCAUUCAGAGGUACAUGUAUGAUAACCAUAUACCGAUGAGUUCCUGUUAUUUCGAGGUAGAGGUAUAACUAUAAGACCAUCAGAGAUGUUUACCCACUUUUGAGCAGACGUUAGGAGGGACGACCCUUAAUUUCUAAAAUGCUGGUAGCUGGUUCCUGCC
rnacentral:rRNA from 1 species